rnacentral:rRNA from 1 species
CCCUUAGAUGUUCUGGGAUGCACGCGCGUUACACUGAUUCGUUCAACGAGUUUAUGACCUUGCCUGAUGAGGUGGGGGAAUCUUUUCAAAUCGCAUCGUGAUGGGGAUAGAGUAUUGUAACUGUUAGUCUUCAACGAGGAAUUCCUAGUAAGUACGUGUCAUCAGCUCGUACUGAUUAUGUCCCUGCCCUUUGUACACACCGCCCGUCGCACCUACCGAUUGAAUGGUCCGGUGAAAUCUCGGGACGGCGGCUUGGUCGCUUGCGUCCGACUGCUGAAACUUGAUUAAACCAUAUCAUUUAGAGGAAGGUGAAGUCGUAACA